rnacentral:lncRNA from 1 species
UAAAUACUUAAACCAACAAAAUCACACGAAUCUUAAAUCAAAACAUAACAAAAAUGAUUGUUUACCUAAGAUAUAGUUAUAGACAUACGAGAAUUAAGGAAUAAACCUGGAAGCAGGUGAUGAAUACCUCCGGUUUAUCGACGUAGAAAUCGUUGAACUUUUCGAAUUCCUAGUUGAGAACCAGAUCUGCAGCUCGGCCAAAUGUGGUGGCGAUACCUUGCAUCACCCUCCGGCCGCGGGGAUUAUCUCCAUCUGGUAGGGUUUCUUCCGAAUAUAUUUUGAUUUCGUUUCAAAAUGAUGCCAUAUUUUGUUCAGUACAAUGCCUUGUAUCAUUCCUUCAUCAUUGAUCAAUUCUGUGCUUACUUUGGUUCAAAAAGAUCGAUUAAUUACUACAAUAAAAAUAUUAAUAAUUUAAAUUCUUUUUUUUUCCAAUCGAUAAUUGAAAAUUAUCAUUUCCCUCCGGGGGAAAACCUACCUCAUUUCCCCCAAUUUUCCCAUUCCAUUCCCUUCUUUGGCAGCAUAUAUUACAUCCGUUGUCUUGCCCAUCCUUUCCGUCAGACGGCCGGCCGCACUAUUAGAUUUCACAGUAAGCUUACUGGAGUCGUGAAGGGCAUUUCUGUUGCCAGCCAUUUAAAUUAGAACGAGGAAGAACAAGCUUUGCUAAAAUUUGAAAGCUAUUGAAGGUAUCUCUCUACAAAUGGUAAACUACUGGAGUCGUGAAGGGCAUUUCUGUUGGCAGCCAUAAAAAUUUGAACGAGGAAGCCACAAGCUUUGCUAAAAUUUGCCUGCUAUUGAAGGUAUCUCUCUGCAAAGUCUCGAUUUGUUUAAAGGCUUCGAGUAUGAUGAGGAGAGGCCCAAGUAUGGAAGGGCGCCUUAUGAUACUGAGGGUCAUGAAAGGCCUAGUUAUGGAAGGUCCGAGGAAGAUGACUAUAGGAAGACAAGCUAUACGAGGUGUGAUGAUGAUGACACCGACUAUGGCAGCAAAAAAUAUGUGAGUUUCUUUCUAGUUCUUGAUAUUCAUGAAUUAUAUGCAUAGACAACAUAAAGAACGUUAUUUCAUACAUUAUUCCUUAACAUUGUUAAUUGUUAUUCAAUUUUCUCAAUCAAAUGUAACAUCAAUGAUCACGGGUUUGGUUGACUAAUCCUAUGAUUUAAUUAGUUCCUAUCUUGAGCAUGACUGUUAAUUUUUGUUUCUAUUUAUAUGUAGUGAUAAUCGAAUUUGAACGUUCUUAAAGAAAUAUGUGCAGCCCACACAAUCAGAUUCUCACAUUUUGGCUUAUUUUUACUUGUUUAUUAAUCUUUGAUGGUGUGGAGUCGCAGAAUAGAUACUAGUUGAAUGAUCAAUUUUAACUUUUUUGUUUUAGUUUGAAUCUAUCAUUUAAAGAGAACAAUAAUCAAUUGUUAGAUUACGGUACAUCAUAAUUUUUCUGUCCUUUGCGAUCUCGAAUGACAAGGAAGUAAUGUUAAUUCUGAUGAGGACGAGGAUGAGGAGAAGAAGAAACGCCACAAGUCCCACCAUCACCACAAGAAGCACUAUGAUGAGUAAACAAAAAAAUCGUUCCUCGAUGAGCGGGCAAGAUGAAAUAAAAUAAGGAGUUAGGCAUUUUUUGUUUUAAAUGGUAUUCAUGUUGAGUUCUUUAGCAUAUUGGAUUGUAUCCAUAAUCAAUAAAAUAUAAUACUCUCUUCGUCUUAAUUAUAUAGAUUUGUUUCGUUUUUUCACACGAAUUAAGAAAUCUUCUUUAAUGUUAUUGAAAAAUUAAUUUUGUCAAGAUCUUUCGUAAUUUACUCUCAUUUAAUUUUCAGUUUGUCUGUAAAUUAUUGUUAGUAUUAAUAAAGAAUUUGAAUAAUUUAAUUUGAAGAAAAAGAAAUGGGAGUUGUUUCAUGUUUUCAAGAAGUGGAAAAUGUAAUCGAAUAGGUGCUACUAUCUUACUUGCAGCUAAUUGCACUCCGUGCACGAAAACUAAGUGUUAUCAUUCAGCUUCUAGAGUUGUGAACAUAUUAUUUGACAGGAAGGGAUCAAUAUGCAACCAAAAAACUAAACUUCAAAUAGGGAAUGAAGUCUGAUUUGCAAGCUACAUGAAUCAGUUUUCAACCCUCAGUCAUGGUCAUGAUAGAGUUUACCUUUUGAAGAUCACCAAUGCUAGGUGCAGAGGCGUGCAUAAUAGAUCGAUAAUGAACAUUACGAGGUAUCCUGUAAUAAAACUAGUUGUUGUUGAAUACCUUGGAACUAUGUGCAUCUAAAAACCCUUUUAUGGUAUAUCUUCGCCUGACAAAAUGAGAAUGUGUAUUCUUGAUCAUUGUGAAGGGAAAGUGAGACUAGACUUGAUCUGCACGGCAUUCCUAAUAACAUUCUUAAAUGCCUUGUUUUUGGUAAUAGAUGAGCAUUACUUGACCGGUUCUUAUUUCGUAAACAAGCAUAACAUAAAGAAAUUCAUCACUUUCAUCUUAAAAAUAAAAAGUAGGGCUCACAUUGCAGCAAGAGUGCUCGGGUAUAAAUCUAUAUAUUCCUCCCAAGUAACAAGGUUGUCUCCUGGGAUGAACAUCAGCAUAUGUUGCGCUUGUCUGAACUUGGGCAGUACGACAACAUAGGAACUCCAGAUUAGCCACCCAAGCAUGAACUAUUCUUUUGAGAGUUUCGUCGUGAAAAAGGGCAGAUGACAGCAAGGUCUGUAAAAGAAGAAACUACAAUCCCCUAGUUGUUUUCGGAGUUUUAACACGAGUGAAUGAAAUAUGCAGAAUUUUCAGAAAAUGUCUGAACCCACAUAAAUUAAUACAAGAGAAACAACAAGUGAACCGUGACAGCCCAUGGAAAACUUACAUUAGAUAUAUAAAGAUCAUGAGAAAUCAGCUUCUUCACAAUUCUGGAAUAAUGAUGACCAAGUAUUUCCUUUCUGGCAAAUGCUACAUAGUGCACACAAUGCAUUACACUCCUCUCACAUAGAGGGUCCACAAAUAUUUAUUGUGUGAGGAUCCCACCAUGUGAGGGGAUGUAAUGCAUUGUGUACACAUAACAUUUUCCUUUCUUAUGUCCAUCAUCUAGUCACUAAGUUCACUCUCUUGAGGUAAAAUAUUCCACCUACGUUUGAGCUUCAAUUUCCUCAAAACUAUAUUUUUUUUUUCCAAGACUCAUAUUAACCACACAUUUUGCCAUAAAUUAAUUUUAUACAUAAACUCGAAACUUUCUCUAUUUUAACCACACAUUUUCCAAACAAUCGCUAUUCCGAAACCUAUUUUCCCCCCAAAAAAUGGUGCUCAAACAGGGCCUCAAUCUUGUGUUCCAUCACUGGCCCGGGCAGCGUAGCACAGUAAGAGCCGUGCCAAUCUGGAGGUCUCCGCAGCCUAACAGGUCUGGUAUUGAAAAAAGAAAAGAAAGCUAAGCAAAGAAGGGGGACAAAAUAAAACAAAAAUAAAAAUAAAAAGAGUGAAAGCAUGUGAGACUGGCACUGGGCAACAAAACAGCCCGGUUUACACCUCCUACAUAAUCUCCCACUAAAUUCAGUCACAGAGGUAAAAACACUCUAUCUUUACUGCCCCUCUUUUUCAGUAAUUCAAUUCUUCUCUCGGCACCAAAAAAGAAAAAAAAGCAGCUUAUAAUUAACAAGAAUUAUAUCGAUACAUUUUAACCAAAAUGAUCAUUUAAUGUAACAAUAGUCAUUAUUAGAGCACAAAACAAGAUAUUAAAGCAAAAUUCCAAAACAAAUCCAGUGUAAAUAAAACACAAUUUGAAAGAUGGAUGAAUCUAAGCCCCUGUUUGGCAUCCAUUUUAAUGAUUUUUUUGGCGUGAAAAGAGUUUUUAAAUAGUGAUUUUUUAUUUUUCUUAAAAAUGUGUGGUUAAAAAAUAGGAAAAAUAUUUGGGUUUAAGUUCAAAAUAUUUUAUCAUAUAUUAUGGUUGAUAAUGGGUUUGAGAAAAAAAAAGUUUUGAUUUAAUGGAUGUCAAAGAGAGGCUUAAUGUUCUAAAUACUUAUCUCCCUUGGUACACAACUUAGUCGCAAGUUCUUGUCCCUACAACCUUAACAACACGUUUGGUUAACACCAUACAAUAAGAUAGACAAUAUUUUAACUUCUUUAUCUCGUUUAAUCCUGUCGAUAGUCCAAGUUAUCGAACAAGCCAUGAAGGUGUUGAAUAUUAACUUGGAUCCAUAAUCAACUCAAUCAUUUUCUUCUAUAACAUGUUAUAGUUUACCCGAGAUGAUCUCAGUAGAUCUAUGAGAAAUAGGGCUCUAUACAAAAUAAUUAUGAACUAACUAAAGACGAAUAUACCAAGGAGAUUCUUAUUAAACAAAGAACAUUUUAAUUCAUUCCAAGGUCAUAUCGCAUGACAAUUUGGAAUAUGCCUAAAAUAUUCUUUUAAACCAUCCAACAAAAAUCAAUGUCCACUUAAAUGUUGUUAUUCUACUUCAUGCCAUCUCACCACUAAAGGAAGCACGGUCAACAUCAGUUUAAUGAGAGCAAAAUGGCUCCUUCAACACUCUCCUCAUCUUAUAUUCAUACUUGGAUUCCUAUGUCUCCUAGUAUUUUAUGAGCCCAAAUCGUAAUUUUUCGUAUACUUGUUAAUCAACAAGUUAGUCCGCCUUAAUCAACAUCGUGCUCAAAUUAAAAUUCAUCUUGCAGGUACAAUUCCUCUACUGUUUACAACUGGCUAGAUUAUCAACCAAGCACAACACUGAGAAAAGUUCGACGGUUUCUACGUUAAUAAAGGGAAGUACCCUCUAUCCCACCCUAUCCCACCGCCUCCAUUCCUCCGUCCCUUGUUUCCGUUCUCCUAAAAAUUAAGAGUAUGUUUUAGAAGUAGUUUAAAUUUCCCAUUACUCUUAACUAAUUUCUUUCAUACACAUAGAGCCCCAAGUUUAAAUUCAAAUCAAAUUAAUGCCUAUUUUCAAGCUUGUAUAAAAUUAAAUACUUAAACCAACAAAAUCACACGAAUCUUAAAUCAAAACAUUAAAAAAAUAUAUAAAAAAAUUUGAUUGUUUACUUAAGAUAUAGUUAUAGACAUACGAGAGUUAAGGGAUAAACCUGCAAGCAGUUGAUGAAUACCUCCCGUUUAUCGACGUAGAAAUCGUUGAACUUUUCGAAUUCCCAGUUGAGAACCAGAUCUGCAGCUCGGCCAAAUGCGGUG